GGUUAAGUUAGAAAGGGCGCACGGUGAAUGCCUUGGCACUAGGAGCCGAUGAAGGACGGGACUAACACCGAUAUGCUUCGGGGAGCUGUAAGUGAGCUUUGAUCCGGAGAUUUCCGAAUGGGGAAACCCACUGUUCGUAAUGGAACAGUAUCUUUAUCUGAAUACAUAGGAUAUUGAAGGCAGACCCGGGGAACUGAAACAUCUAAGUACCCGGAGGAAGAGAAAGCAAAUGCGAUUUCCUGAGUAGCGGCGAGCGAAACGGAAUUAGCCCAAACCAAGAGGCUUGCCUCUUGGGGUUGUAGGACACUCUAUACGGAGUUACAAAGGAACGAAGUAAAUGAAGCGACCUGGAAAGGUCCGUCGAAGAAGGUAACAACCCUGUAGUUGAAACUUCGUUCCCUCUUGAGUGGAUCCUGAGUACGGCGGAACACGUGAAAUUCCGUCGGAAGCUGGGAGGACCAUCUCCCAAGGCUAAAUACUACCUAGUGACCGAUAGUGAACCAGUACCGUGAGGGAAAGGUGAAAAGCACCCCGGAAGGGGAGUGAAAGAGAUCCUGAAACCGUGUGCCUACAAGUAGUCAGAGCCCGUUAACGGGUGAUGGCGUGCCUUUUGUAGAAUGAACCGGCGAGUUACGAUCCCAUGCAAGGUUAAGCUGAUAAGGCGGAGCCGUAGCGAAAGCGAGUCUGAAUAGGGCGUUUAGUAUGUGGUUGUAGACCCGAAACCAGGUGAUCUACCCAUGUCCAGGGUGAAGUUCAGGUAACACUGAAUGGAGGCCCGAACCCACGCACGUUGAAAAGUGCGGGGAUGAGGUGUGGGUAGCGGAGAAAUUCCAAUCGAACCUGGAGAUAGCUGGUUCUCUCCGAAAUAGCUUUAGGGCUAGCCUCAUGUUGUGAGAGUCUUGGAGGUAGAGCACUGAUUGGACUAGGGGCCCCCAACGGGUUACCGAAUUCAGUCAAACUCCGAAUGCCAAAGACUUAUCCAUGGGAGUCAGACUGCGAGUGAUAAGAUCCGUAGUCAAAAGGGAAACAGCCCAGACCACCAGCUAAGGUCCCCAAGUAUACGUUAAGUGGAAAAGGAUGUGGAGUUGCUUAGACAACCAGGAUGUUGGCUUAGAAGCAGCCACCAUUUAAAGAGUGCGUAAUAGCUCACUGGUCGAGUGACUCUGCGCCGAAAAUGUACCGGGGCUAAACGUAUCACCGAAGCUGUGGAUUGACAUCUUAGAUGUCAGUGGUAGGAGAGCGUUCUAAGUGCUGUGAAGUCAGACUGUAAGGACUGGUGGAGCGCUUAGAAGUGAGAAUGCCGGUAUGAGUAGCGAAAGACAAGUGAGAAUCUUGUCCACCGAAUGCCUAAGGUUUCCUGAGGAAGGCUCGUCCGCUCAGGGUUAGUCGGGACCUAAGCCGAGGCUGAAAAGCGUAGGCGAUGGCCAACAGGUUGAUAUUCCUGUACCACCUCCCCGCCGUUUGAGUAAUGGGGGGACGCAGUAGGAUAGGGUAAGCGCGCUGCUGGAUAUGCGCGUUCAAGCAGUUAGGCUGAUGAGUAGGCAAAUCCGCUCAUCAUAAAGGCUGAGCUGUGAUGACGAGGGAAUUAUAGUACCGAAGUUCCUGAUUCCACACUGCCAAGAAAAGCCUCUAGCGAGGCGGGAGGUGCCCGUACCGCAAACCGACACAGGUAGGCGAGGAGAGAAUCCUAAGGUGAUCGAGAGAACUCUCGUUAAGGAACUCGGCAAAAUGACCCCGUAACUUCGGGAGAAGGGGUGCUCUGGUAGGGUGUAUAGCCCGAGAGAGCCGCAGUGAAUAGGCCCAGGCGACUGUUUAGCAAAAACACAGGUCUCUGCGAAGCCGCAAGGCGAAGUAUAGGGGCUGACGCCUGCCCGGUGCUGGAAGGUUAAGAGGAGGGGUUAUCCUUUGGGAGAAGCUCUGAAUCGAAGCCCCAGUAAACGGCGGCCGUAACUAUAACGGUCCUAAGGUAGCGAAAUUCCUUGUCGGGUAAGUUCCGACCCGCACGAAAGGCGUAACGAUCUGGGCACUGUCUCAACGAGAGACUCGGUGAAAUUAUAGUACCUGUGAAGAUGCAGGUUACCCGCGACAGGACGGAAAGACCCCGUGGAGCUUUACUGUAGCCUGAUAUUGAAUUUUGGUACAGCUUGUACAGGAUAGGUAGGAGCCUGAGAAGCCGGAGCGCUAGCUUCGGUGGAGGCGUCGGUGGGAUACUACCCUGGCUGUAUUGAAAUUCUAACCCGCGGCCCUGAUCGGGCCGGGAGACAGUGUCAGGUGGGCAGUUUGACUGGGGCGGUCGCCUCCUAAAAUGUAACGGAGGCGCCCAAAGGUUCCCUCAGAAUGGUUGGAAAUCAUUCGUAGAGUGUAAAGGCACAAGGGAGCUUGACUGCGAGACCUACAAGUCGAGCAGGGACGAAAGUCGGGCUUAGUGAUCCGGUGGUUCCGCAUGGAAGGGCCAUCGCUCAACGGAUAAAAGCUACCCCGGGGAUAACAGGCUUAUCUCCCCCAAGAGUCCACAUCGACGGGGAGGUUUGGCACCUCGAUGUCGGCUCAUCGCAUCCUGGGGCUGUAGUCGGUCCCAAGGGUUGGGCUGUUCGCCCAUUAAAGCGGUACGCGAGCUGGGUUCAGAACGUCGUGAGACAGUUCGGUCCCUAUCCGUCGUGGGCGUAGGAAAUUUGAGAGGAGCUGUCCUUAGUACGAGAGGACCGGGAUGGACACACCGCUGGUGUACCAGUUGUCUUGCCAAAGGCAUCGCUGGGUAGCUAUGUGUGGACGGGAUAAGUGCUGAAAGCAUCUAAGCAUGAAGCCCCCCUCAAGAUGAGAUUUCCCAUAGCGCAAGCUAGUAAGAUCCCUGAAAGAUGAUCAGGUUGAUAGGUCAGAGGUGGAAGCGUGGCGACAUGUGUAGCUGACUGAUACUAAUCGAUCGAGGACUUAACCAA
rnacentral:rRNA from 1 species